GGAUUAGAUACCCUGGUAGUCCACGCCGUAAACGAUGACAACUAGCCGUUGGGCCCCUUGAGGGUUUAGUGGCGCAGCUAACGCGAUAAGUUGUCCGCCUGGGGAGUACGGCCGCAAGGUUAAAACUCAAAUGAAUUGACGGGGGCCCGCACAAGCGGUGGAGCAUGUUGUUUAAUUCGAUGCAACGCGAAGAACCUUACCACCCCUUGACAUCCUCAGAACUUGUUAGAAAUAACUUGGUGCCUUCGGGAACUGAGUGACAGGUGCUGCAUGGCUGUCGUCAGCUCGUGCUG
rnacentral:rRNA from 1 species